rnacentral:rRNA from 1 species
UACGAAGGGGGCUAGCGUUGCUCGGAAUCACUGGGCGUAAAGCGCACGUAGGCGGCUUUUUUAAGUCAGGGGGUGAAAUCCUGGAGCUCAACUCCAGAACUGCCCUUUGAUACUGGGAGCUUGAGUCCGGAAGAGGUGAGUGGAACUCCGAGUGUAGAGGUGAAAUUCGUAGAUAUUCGGGAAGAACACCAGUGGCGAAGGCGGCUCACCUGGGUCCGGUACUGACGCUGAGGUGCGAAAGCGUGGGGAGCAAAGCA